rnacentral:rRNA from 1 species
UACGUAGGGUGCGAGCGUUAAUCGGAAUUACUGGGCGUAGAGCGUGCGCAGGCGGCUUUCUAAGUCAGGGGUGAAAUCCUGGAGCUCAACUCCAGAACUGCCUUUGAUACUGGGAAGCUCGAGUCCGGAAGAGGUGAGUGGAACUCCGAGUGUAGAGGUGAAAUUCGUAGAUAUUCGGAAGAACACCAGUGGCGAAGGCGGCUCACUGGUCCGGUACUGACGCUGAGGUGCGAAAGCGUGGGGAGCAAACAGG